rnacentral:rRNA from 1 species
AGGCUGAUGGCGACCGGCGCACGGGUGAGUAACACGUAUCCAACCUGCCGUCUACUCUUGGCCAGCCUUCUGAAAGGAAGAUUAAUCCAGGAUGGCAUCAUGAGUUCACAUGUCCGCAUGAUUAAAGGUAUUUUCCGGUAGACGAUGGGGAUGCGUUCCAUUAGAUAGUAGGCGGGGUAACGGCCCACCUAGUCAACGAUGGAUAGGGGUUCUGAGAGGAAGGUCCCCCACAUUGGAACUGAGACACGGUCCAAACUCCUACGGGAGGCAGCAGUGAGGAAUAUUGGUCAAUGGGCGAUGGCCUGAACCAGCCAAGUAGCGUGAAGGAUGACUGCCCUAUGGGUUGUAAACUUCUUUUAUAAAGGAAUAAAGUCGGGUAUGCAUACCCGUUUGCAUGUACUUUAUGAAUAAGGAUCGGCUAACUCCGUGCCAGCAGCCGCGGUAAUACGGAGGAUCCGAGCGUUAUCCGGAUUUAUUGGGUUUAAAGGGAGCGUAGAUGGAUGUUUAAGUCAGUUGUGAAAGUUUGCGGCUCAACCGUAAAAUUGCAGUUGAUACUGGAUGUCUUGAGUGCAGUUGAGGCAGGCGGAAUUCGUGGUGUAGCGGUGAAAUGCUUAGAUAUCACGAAGACUCCGAUUGCGAAGGCAGCCUGC